rnacentral:rRNA from 1 species
AACUCCUACGGGAGGCAGCAGUGAGGAAUAUUGGUCAAUGGCCGAGAGGCUGAACCAGCCAAGUCGCGUGAAGGAAGAAGGAUCUAUGGUUUGUAAACUUCUUUUAUAGGGGAAUAAAGUGGAGGACGUGUCCUUUUUUGUAUGUACCCUAUGAAUAAGCAUCGGCUAACUCCGUGCCAGCAGCCGCGGUAAUACGGAGGAUGCGAGCGUUAUCCGGAUUUAUUGGGUUUAAAGGGUGCGUAGGUGGUGAUUUAAGUCAGCGGUGAAAGUUUGUGGCUCAACCAUAAAAUUGCCGUUGAAACUGGGUUACUUGAGUGUGUUUGAGGUAGGCGGAAUGCGUGGUGUAGCGGUGAAAUGCAUAGAUAUCACGCAGAACUCCGAUUGCGAAGGCAGCUUACUAAACCAUAACUGACACUGAAGCACGAAAGCGUGGGGAUCAAACAGGAUUAGAUACCCUGGUAGUCCACGCAGUAAACGAUGAUUACUAGGAGUUUGCGAUACAAUGUAAGCUCUACAGCGAAAGCGUUAAGUAAUCCACCUGGGGAGUACGCCGGCAACGGUGAAACUCAAAGGAAUUGACGGGGGCCCGCACAAGCGGAGGAACAUGUGGUUUAAUUCGAUGAUACGCGAGGAACCUUACCCGGGUUUGAACGUAGUCUGACCGGAGUGGAAACACUCCUUCUAGCAAUAGCAGAUUACGAGGUGCUGCAUGGUUGUCGUCAGCUCGUGCCGUGAGGUGUCGGCUUAAGUGCCAUAACGAGCGCAACCCUUAUCACUAGUUACUAACAGGUGAAGCUGAGGACUCUGGUGAGACUGCCAGCGUAAGCUGUGAGGAAGGUGGGGAUGACGUCAAAUCAGCACGGCCCUUACAUCCGGGGCGACACACGUGUUACAAUGGCAUGGACAAAGGGCAGCUACCUGGCGACAGGAUGCUAAUCUCCAAACCAUGUCUCAGUUCGGAUCGGAGUCUGCAACUCGACUCCGUGAAGCUGGAUUCGCUAGUAAUCGCGCAUCAGC